rnacentral:lncRNA from 1 species
CCCAACAUCACACAGCCAGGAUUCAAUUCCAGGCUGAGUCUGGUUUCAGAGUCCACACUCUUAACCUGCACCAGGCUAUUACAUACCUCAAUUUCCUGUAAUGUGGCCCCAAUCCCUUUGUCUCAUUCAUUUAGCAAAUACCUCAUCUUUGAAGACUAAUAGCAAUCCUGCCUCUGUGAAGCCUCUCCUUACUCCAUGAGGUAGAGUCUCUUUCUACUACGUGUGAGAGGGGAGAUGGAGACAUAGGGAAGUGGCAAAGCUAGAGAGGUAAUAAGGGCCAGGCAGGUCACAGAGAAUGUCUUUGAGGAAGAAGGUCAAAGUGAGGUGCCUCUCUGGGAGCUGCUGCGCUAAUCCAGGCGAGAAUGGUGGGAAAUGAAUGAUGGAUCACUGCAGCAAUGUGCCUCUUAGCCCCACCCGACACUGUGACAUAUACCACUUUUUAGCAUUGUCAUUAAAACCACAGUUCCGGCUGGGCACAGUGGCUCACGCCUGUAAUCCCAGCACUUUGGGAGGCCGAGGCAGGCGGAUCACCAGAGAUCAGGAGUUCGAGACCAGCCUGGCCAACAUGGUGAAACUCUGUCUCCACUAAAAAUACAAAAAUUAGCCGGGCAUGGUGGUGCGCGCCUGUAAUCCAGCUACUGAGGGGGCUGAGGCAUGAGAAUCGCUUGAACCUGGGAGGUGGAGUUUGCAGUGACCGGAGAUCAUGCCACUGCACUCCAGCCUGGAUGACAGAGCAAGACUCCGUCUCAAAAACAACAAAAACAACAACCACAGCAACAACCACAGUUCUUAGGUAAAUGAAGAAAAGCAUUUUAAGGUAAAGGUAACCUUCUGAUUUCAAUUGCCCGUUUGGAUCAACCAUCAGACCCAGUCAUGGAGAGGACGCAGAAAAUGGAAUCUAGGAAAGAAUGAGCCAGGAUCUUGUGGACCGAGCUGAAGCGUGAAUCUUCCUCGCCAGAAACACCCCAGCAACCAAUUACCCUGGACGUGACGCCGAGGCCCACCUAGUGGUCAGCCAUCUGCCUAGGCAGACAAUAAAGCUCAAUUUUUC